AGUGAACGCUGGCGGUAGGCCUAACACAUGCAAGUCGAACGGCAGCACAGUAAGAGCUUGCUCUUAUGGGUGGCGAGUGGCGGACGGGUGAGGAAUACAUCGGAAUCUACCUUUUCGUGGGGGAUAACGUAGGGAAACUUACGCUAAUACCGCAUACGACCUUGGUGAAAGCAGGGACCUUCGGGCCUUGCGCGGAUAGA
rnacentral:rRNA from 1 species